GUGGGUGUCAAUCAGUGUUAGAGUGCAUGUUUAGUGUGCAUGAAGACCUGGGUUCAACCCCCAGCAGCAACA
rfam:Ictidomys tridecemlineatus contig059005, whole genome shotgun sequence.